GACGAACCGUGCGAACGUUGUUCGGAAUCACUGGGCUUAAAGGGCGCGUAGGCGGGCCGGACGGGCCGGGGUGAAAUCCCCCCGCUCAACGGGGGAACGGCCCCGGACACCGCCGGCCUCGAGGGGGGUAGGGGCGAGCGGAACGCUGGGUGGAGCGGUGAAAUGCGUUGAUAUCGACCGGAACUCCGGUGGCGAAGGCGAGGUGCUGGACCCUUUCUGACGCUGAGGCGCGAAAGCCAGGGGAGCAAACGGG
rnacentral:rRNA from 1 species